UUCUUGUAUGAGACAUUUGCCAGCAACAAACAGCCAAGUGCUCCCUAUGUAUGAAGCAGGAAGGACCAUGUUCUUUCCAGCUACAAGCCCAAACGAUGCUCAUUUAAUGAUUCCAGACCCAAGUGACUCUGCAGGUGAAAUCACAAAAUUUCACACUUGAGUGGACAGCACAAGCCUAGGAAAUCAAGCUAGUGUUCCCAGACCUCAGGGGGAAUCCUCAACACUCUGUCUUCAGGAUAAUUCAUUCUGUUCUUCUUUCCUCCACCCAUGCAGGGAUUUAAGAGUGUUUAGGUAGCUUACAAACACUCACGCAAUAAAAUAUAAUUAUAAAAGCUUUCUACAUUGA